rnacentral:lncRNA from 1 species
AGUUUAUAAUUUUCCGUUCAAAAUUGUAAUUUGGAGAGUUUGCAAUUUUUUCCUUACAAAUUGUAAUUGUACGAUAAUGUUUAAUUUUCUGUUCAAAAUUGUAAUUUGGAAGGUUUAUGAGUUUUUCUUUAAUUUUUUGUUUCUUAUUCUUUUUUGUGGGUAAGCUUCCGCGUGCGCAGGAAUUUGUUUUUUUUUUGUUAUUUUCCCAAUUAC